rnacentral:sRNA from 1 species
CUGGGCUACUCGUUCCGGAGCCGCCAUGUCGUCCGACUUCGAAGGUUACGAGCAGGACUUCGCGGUGCUCACUGCAGAGAUCACCAGCAAGAUUGCGAGGGUCCCACGACUCCCGCCUGAUGAAAAGAAACAGAUGGUUGCAAAUGUGGAGAAACAGCUUGAAGAAGCGAAAGAACUGCUUGAACAGAUGGAUUUGGAAGUCCGAGAGAUACCACCCCAAAGUCGAGGGAUGUACAGCAACAGAAUGAGAAGCUACAAACAAGAAAUGGGAAAACUCGAAACAGAUUUUAAAAGGUCACGGAUCGCCUACAGUGACGAAGUACGGAAUGAGCUCCUGGGGGAUGAUGGGAAUUCCUCAGAGAACCAGUUGAUAAAAUUACGUGAAGAGAGGGCACAUCUGCUCGAUAACACAGAGAGGCUGGAAAGGUCAUCUCGGAGACUAGA